GACACGACUCUCGGCAACGGAUAUCUCGGCUCUCGCAUCGAUGAAGAACGUAGCGAAAUGCGAUACCUGGUGUGAAUUGCAGAAUCCCGCGAACCAUCGAGUCUUUGAACGCAAGUUGCGCCCGAGGCCACCCGGUCGAGGGCACGCCCGCCUGGGCGUCACG
rnacentral:rRNA from 1 species